AUCUAUGGCCAUGCCACUCUGAAUGUGCCCGAUCUCAUCUGAUCUCAGAAGCUAAGAAGGGUCAGGCCUGGUUAGUACUUGGAUGGGAGACCACCUAGGAAUACUGGGUGCUGUAGGCA
rnacentral:rRNA from 1 species